UGAGGAAUAUUGGACAAUGGAUGGAAAUCUGAUCCAGACAUGCCGCGUGCAGGAAGACGGCCCUAUGGGUUGUAAACUGCUUUUGUAUGGGAGCAAUAAGGACUACGUGUAGGUUGAUGAGAGUAACAUACGAAUAAGCAUCGGCUAACUCCGUGCCAGCAGCCGCGGUAAGACGGAGGAUGCGAGCGUUAUCCGGAUUUAUUGGGUUUAAAGGGUGCGUGGGCGGCGUGAUAAGUCAGUGGUGAAAUAUUUCGGCUUAACCGAGAGAUUGCCAUUGAUGUUGUGUUUUUGGAAUAUGGUUGCUGUUAGUUGAAUUAGUGGUGUGGCGGUUACAUGCUUAGAGAUCACAAAGAAUAUUGAUUGCGAAGGCAGCUCACAAAGCCAUUAUUGACGCUGAGGCACCAAAGUGUGGGGAUCAAACA
rnacentral:rRNA from 1 species